rnacentral:miRNA from 1 species
UUCAGCAGCAAUAGCU